rnacentral:rRNA from 1 species
UACAGAGGGGGCAAGCGUUAUUCGGAAUUAUUGGGCGUAAAGGGCGCGUAGGCGGCCUGGCAAGUGGAAGGUGAAAUCCCUCGGCUUAACCGAGGAACUGCCCUCCAAACUGCUUGGCUUGAGUCCGGGAGAGGUGAGUGGAAUUCCCAGUGUAGCGGUGAAAUGCGUAGAUAUUGGGAGGAACACCAGUGGCGAAGGCGGCUCACUGGACCGGAACUGACGCUGAGGAGCGAAAGCCAGGGGAGCAAACGGG